rnacentral:rRNA from 1 species
GAGGAAACUUGUGCUAAUACCGGAUAAGUCUUUACGGAGAAAGCUUUAUGCACCAUUGGAUGAGCCUGCACUUGAUUAGUUUGUUGGUAGGGUAAUGGCCUACCAAGACUAUGAUCAAUAGCUGAUUUGAGAGGAUGAUCAGCCACAUUGGGACUGAGACACGGCCCAAACUCCUACGGGAGGCAGCAGUGGGGAAUCUUGCACAAUGGAGGAAACUCUGAUGCAGCGAUGCCGCGUGAGUGAAGAAGGCCCUUGGGUUGUAAAGCUCUUUCGUCGGGGAAGAAAAUGACUGUACCCGAAUAAGAAGGUCCGGCUAACU